GAUGAAGAACGUAGUGAAAUGCGAUAAGUAAUGUGAAUUGCAGAAUUCAGUGAAUCAUCGAAUCUUUGAACGCACAUUGCGCCCCCCAGUAUUCUGGCGGGCAUGCCUGUUCGAGCGUCAUUUCAACCAUCAAGCCCUGCUUGUGUUGGGGUCCUGCGGCUGCCCGCAGGCCCUGAAAACCAGUGGCGGGCUCGCUAGUCACACCGAGCGCAGUAGCACAUCUCGCUCAGGGCGUGCGGCGGGCUCCAGCCGCUAAAGCACCCACCUUUCGCAAGGUUGACCUCGGAUCAGGUAGGAAUACCCGCUGAACUUAAGCAUAUCAAUAAGCGGAGGA
rnacentral:misc_RNA from 1 species